UGCCAGCCGCCGCGGUAAUACGGAGGGGGUUAGCGUUGUUCGGAAUUACUGGGCGUAAAGCGCGCGUAGGCGGAUUGGAAAGUUAGGGGUGAAAUCCCGGGGCUCAACCCCGGAACUGCCUCUAAAACUCCUGGUCUUGAGUUCGAGAGAGGUGAGUGGAAUUCCGAGUGUAGAGGUGAAAUUCGUAGAUAUCAGGAGGAACACCGAUGGCGAAGGCAUCUCUCUGGGCCGAUAUUGACGCUGAGGCGCGAAGGCGUGGGUAGCGAACGGGAUUAGAUA
rnacentral:rRNA from 1 species